rnacentral:lncRNA from 1 species
CUGUCACUAAGCUUGCCCUUUUGUGAUCGCACAUCGAAUCAUUCGGUCGAGGAAGAAGGAGAAUCGGACGUCCUCGUCCUCGUCCCCGGCCGACGAUCUGCUCUCCAGGUUUGUCGCGAACGACGAUUUGGUGUCGGAGCGGUCCCCACCUUCGAAAAGCAUCUGGUCUUCGGCGGCCAGGGAGGCCGAGUCCCACCUCAUGAUCACCCGCUCCGCCACCUCCAGCUCCCCCUCCACUGCCUCUCGUCGAAGAGC